CCUACGGGAGGCAGCAGUGGGGAAUCUUCCGCAAUGGGCGAAAGCCUGACGGAGCAACGCCGCGUGAGUGAAGAAGGUCUUCGGAUCGUAAAGCUCUUUUGUAAGAGACGAGUGUGAGGAGAGUGAACAAUUCUUCUCAAUGACGGUAUCUUACGAAUAAGCCACGGCUAACUACGUGCCAGCAGCCGCGGUAAUACGUAGGCGGCAAGCGUUGUCCGGAAUUAUUGGGCGUAAAGGGAGCGUAGGCGGGACAGUAAGUCUUUCUUAAAAGUUCGGGGCUCAACCCCGUGAUGGGAAAGAAACUAUUGUUCUUGAGUGCAGGAGAGGAAAGCGGAAUUCCUAGUGUAGCGGUGAAAUGCGUAGAUAUUAGGAGGAACACCAGUGGCGAAGGCGGCUUUCUGGACUGUAACUGACGCUGAGGCUCGAAAGCCAGGGGAGCGAACGGGAUUAGAUACCCCAGUAGUC
rnacentral:rRNA from 1 species